GACGAACGCUGGCGGCGUGCCUAACACAUGCAAGUCGAGCGAUGAAACCUUUCGGGGUGGAUUAGCGGCGGACGGGUGAGUAACACGUGGGUAACCUGCCUCAAAGAGGGGAAUAGCCUCCCGAAAGGGAGAUUAAUACCGCAUAAUAUGUUUUGGUCGCAUGACCGAGAUAUCAAAGGAAAUUCUUCGGAAGUUCCACUUUGAGAUGGACCCCGCGGCGCAUUAGCUAGUUGGUGAGGUAACGGCUCACCAAGGCGACGAUGCGUAGCCGACCUGAGAGGGUGAUCGGCCACAUUGGAACUGAGACACGGUCCAGACUCCUACGGGAGGCAG
rnacentral:rRNA from 1 species